UCAGUGUGCUUGACUAUUCCGUAUAUAUAGACGAAGAAAUGAAAAU
rnacentral:snoRNA from 1 species